GACGAACGCUGGCGGCGUGCUUAACACAUGCAAGUCGAACGGUGAAGCGCCUUCCUUUUUGGUGGGUGUGGAUGAGUGGCGAACGGGUGAGUAACACGUGAGUAACCUGCCCCCUUCUUCUGGAUAACCGCAUGAAAGUGUGGCUAAUACGGGAUAUUCUGGGUCUGUCGCAUGAUGGGUCUGGGAAAGAUAUUGUUUCGGUGGGGGAUGGGCUCGCGGCCUAUCAGCUUGUUGGUGGGGUGAUGGCCUACCAAGGCGGUGACGGGUAGCCGGCCUGAGAGGGUGGACGGUCACACUGGGACGGAGACACGGCCCAGACUACUACGGGAGGCAGCAGGGGGGAAUAUUGCACAAUGGGCGCAAGCCUGAUGCAGCGACGCCGCGGGAGGGAUGGAGGCCUGCGGGUUGUGAACCUCUUUCGCCAGUGAAGCAGGCCUGCCUCGUUUGUGGGUGGGUUGACGGUAGCUGGAGAAGAAGCGCCGGCUAACUACGUG
rnacentral:rRNA from 1 species